rnacentral:rRNA from 2 species
UACGGGGGGGGCAAGCGUUGUUCGGAAUUACUGGGCGUAAAGGGUUCGUAGGUGGCUUGCUAAGUCAGACGUGAAAUCCCUCAGCUCAACUGGGGAACUGCGUCUGAGACUGGCGAGCUUGAGUGCAGGAGAGGAAUGCGGAAUUCCAGGUGUAGCGGUGAAAUGCGUAGAUAUCUGGAGGAACACCGGUGGCGAAGGCGGCGUUCUGGACUGCAACUGACACUGAGGAACGAAAGCCAGGGGAGCAAACGGG